rnacentral:lncRNA from 1 species
CUCAAUCACUCAAGUGUUUAAGGUGACACUCCAACUUUUUAUUAUUCACAAGUCACAUGAAACAAAAUUGCCAUUCAUCUCGAACAAUCAACAUCUUUACAUGCAAAUGCCAUCAAAAGGACUUUUCCAAGGCUUGUAAUGAGGUUGGGCUAACAAGAAGACUUGGUUUUACUGGAAUGCAAAGUCCUUGAAUCAAGAGGGCUAUAAUAAUAUUCAUCACUUAAGCACAACUCUCUUCCUCACCAAUCUCACUCAUUCCCAACUUUUUCCCCUUUUCUUUUUCAUUGAGCUCAUCUUCAUGCUUUUCUUCUUUUCUUUUCUUUUUCUCAUGAAUUUUUCUCUUCACAACAUUUGAGCUCAAUGCUUUUCAUUUGCCUUUCAAUUUCCCCCAUGCAACCCCA